UGAAAAUGGCCUGUUCCUGCCUUAACUGAUGACAUUACCUUGUGAAAUUCCUUCUCCUGGCUCAUCCUGGCUCAAAAGCUUUCCCACUGAGCACCUUGUGUCCCCCACCCCUGCCAGCCAGAGAACAACCCCCUUUGACUGUAAUUUUCCUUUACCUUCCCAAAUCCUAUAAAAUGGUCCCACCCCAUCUCCCUUUGCUGACUCUCUUUUCAGACUCAGCCCGCCUGCACCCAGGUGAAAUAAACAGCCUUGUUGCUCACACAAAACCCGUUUGGUGGUCUCUUCACACGGACGCGAAUGAAAUUUGGUGCUGUGACUCGGAUCGGGGGAUCUCCCUUGGGAGAUAAAUCCCAUGUCCUCCUGCUCUUUGCUCUGUGAGAAGGAUCCACUUAUGACCUCAGGUCCUCAGACCAACCAGCCCACAGAACAUCUCACCAAUUUUAAAUCGGCCAUGUCCCAUCUGUGUGGGACCCCACUGAAAAUCGGACUCUUCAACUCACCUGGCAGCCACUCCCAGAGCCCCUGGAACUCUGGCCCAAGGCUCUCUGACUCCUUCCCGGAUCUUCUUGGCUUAGCGGCUGAAGACUGAUGCUGCCCAAUCACCUUGGAAGCCCCCUAGACCAUCAUGGAUGCCAAGCUUCGGGUAACUCUCACAGUGGAAGACUCAGCCCAUCUGCACCCAGGUGAAAUAAACAGCCCUGUUGCUCACACAAAACCUGUUGGGUGGUCUCUUCACACGGAUGCGAGUGAAACAGUAAAUCUUGAUGUGGCUCACUCUUUGGGCCCGUGCUGUCUUUAUGAACUGUAACACCCAUCGCAAAGGUCUGCAGCUUCACUCCUGAAGUCAGUGAGACCACGAACCCACCAGAAGAAACAAACUCCGGACACAUCUGACCAUCUGAAGGAACAGACUCUGGACACACCAUCUUUAAGAACUGUAACACUCACCACAAGGGUCCAUGGCUUCAUUCUUGAAGUUAGCGAGACCAAGAACCCACCAAUUCCGGACACAGUAGCACAGAGGCUGUGGGUGGUUUGACUAGAGCAGGCCCUAAGAAUGGUGGGACAUAGAAGCCUCGUUUCAGGGGUUUGAGGAGUGGGAAGUGAAAAACUAGAGACUAAGAGUGCAGACCAUUUUUUUAAGCCACUUGGUUCUGAAGGGAAGAAAAGAGUGUGGAAGAGGAUUUGGGGCAAGGCAGGAUUUUUCUUAUGAUAAGGAAUCCAUCAGAGAGGGAAAAAUUGAAGUCUGAGAAGAACGAUUGUUCCAAGGUGGAAGAGCCACAUUUUAUUUUUGAUUGAGGGUCAAAAACAGAGCCUUGGACUGCCUUGCGGUCUAGAAUGGGUGUGUGUGG
rnacentral:lncRNA from 1 species